rnacentral:rRNA from 1 species
AAAACAUCGCUCCUUGGUUGUGAUUGUAUAAGGAGUCGGACCUGCCCGGUGACCUACGGGUUAAACGGCCGCGGUACACUGACCGUGCAAAGGUAGCACAAUCACUUGCCUUUUAAUUGGAGGCUGGUAUGAAUGGUUUGACGAGGGCUGAGCUGUCUCUUCUGGAAUAUUUAAAAAUUAACUUCUAAGUGCAAAGGCUUAGAUUUAGCUGAGGGACGAGAAGACCCUGUUGAGCUUUAGUGUGGAAUAAAAGGUUUAUUUUUAUUAGAAUAGAAGGUUUUGAGUUUAUUCUUACAUCUUUAGUUGGGGUGACUAGGGAACAUGGAAAGCUUCUCUGUUAAUUUGUAGAAAUUUGGUUUACUGACGAGUGAUCCAGCAUUGCUGAUUAUCGGAAAAAGUUACCACAGGGAUAACAGCGUAAUCUUUCUGGAGAGUUCACAUUGAAAGAAGGGUUUGCGACCUCGAUGUUGGAUUAAGGUGUCCUGAGGGUGUAGCAGCUUUCGUUGGUUGGUCUGUUCGACCAUUAAAACCUUACGUGAUCUG